CGGCGGACGGGUGAGUAACGCGUGGGUAACCUGCCUCAUACAGGGGGAUAACAGUUAGAAAUGACUGCUAAUACCGCAUAAGACCACAGGAUCGCAUGAUCCGGUGGUAAAAACUCCGGUGGUAUGAGAUGGACCCGCGUCUGAUUAGCUAGUUGGUGGGGUAACGGCCCACCAAAGCGACGAUCAGUAGCCGACCUGAGAGGGUGACCGGCCACAUUGGGACUGAGACACGGCCCAA
rnacentral:rRNA from 1 species